rnacentral:rRNA from 1 species
AACGAACGCUGGCGGCAUGCCUAACACAUGCAAGUCGAACGAAGCCUUCGGGCUUAGUGGCGCACGGGUGCGUAACGCGUGGGAAUCUGCCCUUAGGUACGGAAUAACUCAGGGAAACUUGUGCUAAUACCGUAUGAUGUCGAGAGACCAAAGAUUUAUCGCCUAGGGAUGAGCCCGCGUAGGAUUAGCUAGUUGGUGGGGUAAAGGCCUACCAAGGCGACGAUCCUUAGCUGGUCUGAGAGGAUGAUCAGCCACACUGGGACUGAGACACGGCCCAGACUCCUACGGGAGGCAGCAGUGGGGAAUAUUGGACAAUGGGCGAAUGCCUGAUCCAGCAAUGCCGCGUGAGUGAAGAAGG